ACUAGAGCCAUAGCUCAGGCUAAUGAAUAGUAGUCCGAUCAGAGAACCAAGCAUAUUCUACAUCACUUUCACCUUGUCUGCGAGAUGUGGAUUGAGGUGACGUCGAUCUUCAGAAGAUUGACAGAAAGAAGAACUUGACUGACCCAUUUACUAAAACCUUCGAAACCAAAAAGUUCGACAAUCAAAUAGAAGUUGGGUA
rnacentral:lncRNA from 1 species